CUAUAGGGGAAGAAAUGUGUGCAGUUUUAAGCCACCAAGUGUGUGGUAUUCAUUACAGCAGUCGCAGGAAAUGAACAGAGUCUCCCGCUGUGGUGGUGGUAUGUAAGAAUCAUGCUUGAGAAGGAUGCCAAAGCAAGUCAGAAAAUCAUGCCCAAAGCAUGGGGGAGGGACCCAAGGCAGUUUGAAACACUUCAAGAAAAUAAUUUAUAGAAGCAAGGCCAUGACUUCAUUAUAAUCCAAGAAACCUGGCAGAAACAAAUGUACAUUUCUGGGCUAACAUGCCCUCAGCCUGGGCCUCAAAGACUCCACAUACAUAAAUCCAAGGAGCUUGAGAUCAGGGAAAUGAAGCAGCAUGAAUCAAAGCAGGAACCAAGACUACUGGCCACAAAAGGCAGACCUGGUGUGGCCUGGAGAAGCAAGGGUUACAUGUUGAACCAAAUCAAGCUGAGACCUCCAGGGUGUGACUGACCCAACCUCUACACCUCAGGCAGCUAUUAUCACAUGGAUGAAAGCUGUAACUGAACAGAGAGGAAAGCAUGGAAAACUCGCAGACUAGUCUCCAAGUUUACAGAAGGGGAAGUUGAAGUAAAGGAUAUGCCAGUUUCAGCUGGAUAUAUGAAGCACAUCUUCACAGUCUGGGUGGAAAUUUGCAGUACUUAGCUGUAGACCAGCGAAUGAUGGACAGACAGACCAGAAUUUAAGAGGCUCCUCUCUGUGCACAGAUGAACCCUCC